rnacentral:rRNA from 1 species
GCUCAACCGGGGAGGGUCAUUGGAAACUGGGGAACUUGAGUGCAGAAGAGGAGAGUGGAAUUCCACUUGUAGCGGUGAAAUGCGUAGAGAUGUGGAGGAACACCAGUGGCGAAGGCGACUCUCUGGUCUGUAACUGACGCUGAGGCGCGAAAGCGUGGGGAGCGAACAGGAUUAGAUACCCUGGUAGUCCACGCCGUAAACGAUGAGUGCUAAGUGUUAGAGGGUUUCCGCCCUUUAGUGCUACAGCAAACGCAUUAAGCACUCCGCCUGGGGAGUACGGUCGCAAGACUGAAACUCAAAGGAAUUGACGGGGGCCCGCACAAGCGGUGGAGCAUGUGGUUUAAUUCGAAGCAACGCGAAGAACCUUACCAGGUCUUGACAUCCUCUGACAACCCUAGAGAUAGGGCUUCCCCUUCGGGGGCAGAGUGACAGGUGGUGCAUGGUUGUCGUCAGCUCGUGUCGUGAGAUGUUGGGUUAAGUCCCGCAACGAGCGCAACCCUUGAUCUUAGUUGCCAGCAUUCAGUUGGGCACUCUAAGGUGACUGCCGGUGACAAACCGGAGGAAGGUGGGGAUGACGUCAAAUCAUCAUGCCCCUUAUGACCUGGGCUACACACGUGCUACAAUGGGCAGAACAAAG